UGUACGCACGGUAAUAAAUCACGUGUCACCGUCCAUACGCACAAGAAACUACGGAUGGUUCCCAGGCUCCCAGCACAGAAUCCACCUCCGCCGUCACCACCGAGCAACGCGCGCCGGCGCCCUUCUAUUUCUCCAGCCCCCGCUCCGCCGCCGCCGCUCUCCUCCUCCGCACCCCCGCCCUGUUUCGCCAUCGGCCCAUCGCGCACCUGCCUGUGCCACCUGAGGCUGGGAACUCCAAAGAGGAACAGCGUCCAUGGAGGCUGGAGGCGCAGGAAGUGGUUUGAAUGGGGCGGUGCAGGCAAAGGGGACUGGGGCUGAUGAUGGCUCUGCCAAGCGGCUGCCGCCUUGCUGCGUCAAGGCCAGAGCCGCCGCGCCGGAGUCCGAGGCCAGGUGCCACGCCACCGUCGUUUCAGGAUGGUUCACUGAACCGCGAUCGCGCUGUGGCAAAGCCAGCAAAGUUCAGUAUUACAAUAACCCGAUGUGGCCAGGAGAGGCCAAUUCUUUGAAAGUGGAGAAGAUCUUAUACCAGGGGAAAUCGCUAUACCAAGAAGUCUUAGUCUUCGAGUCGUCGACCUAUGGUAAAGUCCUUGUGCUUGAUGGUAUUGUUCAGUUGACUGACAAGGAUGAAUGUGCAUACCAGGAAAUGAUUACUCACCUGCCACUUUGCUCAAUUCCAUCCCCUAAAAAAGUUUUGGUUAUUGGUGGUGGUGAUGGAGGUGUACUUCGAGAGGUAUCCAGGCAUAGUUCAGUGGAGUCCAUUGACAUAUGUGAGAUUGAUCAGCUGGUUAUUGAUGUGUGCAAAGAUUUCUUCCCACACUUGUCUGUUGGAUUUCAAGAUCCUCGUGUUCAACUUCAUGUCGGCGAUGCUGUGGAGUUCUUGAGAAAUGCUCCUGAAGGGACAUAUGAUGCUAUCAUUGUUGAUUCGUCAGAUCCAAUAGGGCCUGCUCAGGAACUUGUAGAGAAGCCUUUUUUUGAUACAAUUGCUAGAGCUUUGAGGCCUGGAGGCGUUCUUUGUAAUCAAGCUGAGAGUAUGUGGUUACAUACACAUUUGAUUCAGGAUAUGCUUUCAAUUUGCCGUGAAACUUUCAAGGGUUCUGUACGCUAUGCAUGGACAAGUGUCCCAACAUACCCGAGUGGGGUGAUUGGAUUUUUACUAUGUGCCAAAGAAGGUCCAUUGGUGAACUUUCUGACUCCUAUAAAUCCAAUUGAAAAGCUGGAAGGAGCUACAAAAGCUGGAAGGGAGAUCAGAUUUUAUAACUCAGAGGUCCGUUCUCUUUAACCAAUCAUACUAGGAUUAUGGAUUAUGCUUGUGUGUUGCAACAAGAACAACCAUCUCCAAAGGCUCGUGACUACUUGACCUUGGCCAUGCUCACGGUGAUGAGCAUGAUGAGCACCCCCACUAAUGCUACUGCCGGCUAGGAACAGUGAGUGACGACCAAUGGUGCAGGUCAUGCCCCUGUGCCCAACAACUAUCUGCUCUCGCCCAUGCCAAGUUUGUGCAGCAGCACCACGCGUGUAUAACACGACCAUGUUGAUCCCCACUACCUUCUGGAAGAUGGGGAUGACCAAUGCCAUCACCAGCUACUGCUGGUACCACCGCUCCAUGAAAAGCGGCAGUAGGCCGUCCUACCCUGCUCUGCUGGCAGCAGCGAUGAUGAUACCUCCCUCUCAUCAGCACCACGUUGCAGCAGUCGCCAUGGUAACUGCAUGUUUAACUCAUCCAUGAAGAACAUCUAGCAAAUAUGUAUAUACAGAGAGCACAAUAAGCAUAGAUUAGAAGCAUGGACCUCUAUUCCGAUCAAUGUUUUCAAGUCGGACGAUUUGCUAGUCGUUCUGGCUGACUGACUAGGGCGAUUAAUCGCGAUUGGUCCAAACCGACUUGCACGAUUAAUUGCGCUAUGAUGCGCGGAUACUUCACAAAACUCACGUACCGGUGUCGGAUACCGUAUCAGAUACGGAUACUUCCCGGAUACUUCCGGAUACGUAUCGGAGACGUAUCGGAUAUUUUUGUAGAUUUAAAUAAAUAAAAAAGCCGGAUACUCCUGGGACACCUUCCCGAUACCUGUGCGAUACGUUCCAACCCUAGGCUUCAUAUACGCACGUACUCCUGUAUCGCAUAGCCGCUGCCCCGAAGCCACCUCUUUGUGCCUCCACUUGCGUGCCGCUAGCCACAGCCGCUCGUCGAUCUGAGCUGCCGCCGCCGCCGUCGUUCGCCGAUUGGAGCCACCACCGUCACCCAGUCAGUGGCCGAUUGGAGCCGCCUCCGCGAGGCCUGUGGUCGUCAGCCCGUCAGCCGCCGAUUGGAGCCGCCGCUGCGAGAUGCAUAGGGCAGCAUUUGUUCUCCCGACCUUUGCAAGGAGAGAGCUAGAAGCAUAUUGCGUUUCCACUGAAACAGAGCAAGCGGAGGAAACACCGGCGGCACCACUGAAGUUGACUCUUGCAUCCAGGAGUGAAAUUUUCGCUACAUCCUAGCUAGACCAGGACUCGCGAUGUACCACAAGAUAUCAAGAAACCAUUCCUUCCUUCCUGGUGCCGUACCUCCAGUAUCGCCAUUGGUUCAUAGUCUUACUAUCACAUGCUAUGAGACGCAUAAUGAGGCAUCAUGUCAGUAAUUCAGUAUCCAAACAAUGAGAUGAGAUUGGCAUGCUAAGAAAGGACGAGCUGAUAUUACAAUGUACUCCCUUCACCAUGUCAGUAAUUUAUUGUCCAAACAAUUAGAUACAUUGCGUUAUAUGAAGGAGUUUCUUAGGUGUAUCUAGUGCUCGGAGAACCGAAACGUAGUAUCUAGGUUGUACAUGUUCACCCUUGUACUUCUACUUAUUAAGUGAUGUAAUAAAUGCAGAGAUAGUCUUGCUCAAUACAAAAUGUUAGAAAUCCU